rnacentral:sRNA from 1 species
UCCCGAAGCAUCCGAGCCCAGUCAGCACC